rnacentral:rRNA from 1 species
CGUUUACAGUCAGUGAGGAAGGUGGAUAGUGUUAAUAGCAUAUUCAUUUGACGUUUAGCUGCAGAAGAAGCACCGGCUAACUCCGUGCCAGCAACCGCGGUAAUACGGAGGGUGCGAGCGUUAAUCGGAAUUACUGGGCGUAAAGCGCAUGCAGGUGGUUUGUUAAGUCUAGAUGUGAAAGCCCGGGGCUCAACCUCGGAAUUGCAUUUGAAAACUGGCAAACUAGAGUACUGUAGAGGGGGUAGAAUUUCAGGUGUAGCGGUGAAAUGCGUAGAGAUCUGAAGGAAUACCGGUGGCGAAGGCGGCCCCCUGGACAGAUACUGACACUCAGAUGCGAAAGCGUGGGGAGCAAACAGGAUUAGAUACCCUGGUAG